rnacentral:rRNA from 1 species
UGGGUGACCUGCCCCCUACUCUGGGAUAAGCUUGGGAAACUGGGUCUAAUACUGGAUAUUCACUUCUCAUCGCAUGGUGGGUGGUGGAAAGUUUUUUCGGCUGGGGAUGGGCCCGCGGCCUAUCAGCUUGUUGGUGGGGUGAUGGCCUACCAAGGCGACGACGGGUAGCCGGCCGGAGAGGGCGUCCGGCCACACUGGGACUGAGACACGGCCCAGACUCCUACGGGA